GUAGUCAUUGAGUCCUGUGAUCCUGGGCUGCUUGGGAAUAGGGAUGAUGGUGGAGGCCUUGAAGCAGGCUGGUACGUGGGGGAGGGGAAGGUGAUACAGAGGCGUGAGCCCCUGAUGGGCUGGGGGACGGAGGGGUGGGUGUGACGGCCCCAGGGCCACUGCCAGGGUAUUUGUGGGUGUGUCUGUCUGUGUGUGUGUUACCGGGUAAACUUCCUGGUGGAGUGGAGCUGAGGCCAUAAGGCAGAUUCGACGCAGCUGUCCGCUGUCUCUUGAGUGCAUUAAAACCUGCCCUUUCUGAUUGUUUGGGGUUGACUGCUUGGGGUUCUCCUGGUCCCCAGCACAAUAGUGUUUCCCUUUGCUGUGUUUUGUUUGUUUAAUCAGUUUGGUGAAUAAACAUCUUUGGCUGGUUCUCCCUGGAGCGUGAUUUCCUCUUAUUUGUUGUGGCCUUUGAGCCGGACCAUAACGUGGGGGACUGGGGCAGGUUGGUGGAGCUGUGGGGGAUGGGAUCAGGACAUUGUCUAUUGAAUCUGCAGUAGAUCUCAUUCAGCUCGUUUGUAAGACUGUCUCACCGACCGUCUUACAGGCUUCAGGAAUCAGGAAUCAGGAAAUAUUUAUUAGCCAAAAUAUGUCAAACAUACAAGGAAUUUGUCUUGGCGGUUAGUGCGCGACAGUAGACAGACAAGACAACAGUGCACAAGUAAUAAAGUAGAAUGAAAUGCUAGUGCAAUGGGUUAGUAGAAUAAGGCUAUGGGUUAGUAUAAAACAAGGGAAUAAAGUUAAAAAAAAUUUAAAUAUUAAAAAGUUAAAGAAAAAUAUUAAGCAUAAAGUGCACUAACAAACAAGUAACAGACAAGAGACAAAGUGACAAGUGACAAAGUGAUGAAUUGCAGUUAAAGUGGCAUGUGCAGUAUGAGGGGGAGUGACCGGUGGAGUGUUAUAGUCAGGCAGUGGGGGAUCGGGCUCUGUUGAUGAGCCCGACUGCCGACGGGAAGAAACUGUUCGUGUGGCGGGAGGUCGUAGUCCUGAUGGACCUCAGCCUCCUGCCAGAUGGAAGGGGCACAAACAGUUUUUGUCCGGGGUGGGAGGGGUCGGCCGCGAUCUUUUUAGCUUGCUUCAGAGACCUGGAAGCGAACAAGUCCUGCAGGGACGGCAGAUUGCAGCCGAUCACCCUCUCUGCAGAGCGGAUGACCCGCUGAAGCCUGCCCUUGUCCUUGGCUGUGGCUGCAGCGUACCAGACGGUGAUGGAGGAGCCGAGGAUGGACUCGAUGAUGGCCGUGUAGAAGUGGACCAUCAUCGUCUUUGGCAGGUUGAGUUUCUUCAGCUGCCUCAGGAAGAACAACCUCUGAUGAGCCUUCUUGGUGAUGGAGCUGAUGUUCAGCUCCCACUUGAGGUCCUGGGUGAUGAUGGAGCCCAGGAAACGGAAGGAAUCCACAAUAGUGACGGGGGAGUCACACAGGGUGAUGGGGGAGGGUGGGGCUCUGUUCCGCCGGAAAUCUGUCUCGCAGACAGUCCCAUGACUGUCUCACGACUGUCCUACGACAGUCCCAUGACUGUCUCACGACUGUCCUUCGUCCCAUGGCUGUCUCGGACUGUUCCACCGACUGCCUCACACACUGUCCCACCAACUUUCUUACGUCUGUAAGACUGUCUCACCGACCGUCUUAGACUUCUCACAACUGUCUCGCAGAAAGUCCCACGACAGUCCCACGACAGUCUCACGACAGUCUCACGACUGUUCCACGACUGUCUCACGACUGUCCUACGACAGUCCCAUGACUGUCUCACGACUGUCUCACGACUGUCUCACGACAGUCCCACGACAGUCUCACGACUGUUCCACGACAGUCCCACGACAGUCUCACGACUGUUCCACGACUGUUCCACGACUGUCCCACGACUGUCCCACGACUGUCCCACGACUGUCUCACGACUGUCCCACGACAGUCU
ensembl:lncRNA